UACGAAGGGUGCAAGCGUUAAUCGGAAUUACUGGGCGUAAAGCGUGCGUAGGCGGUUGCUUAAGUCAGAUGUGAAAGCCCUGGGCUCAACCUGGGAAUGGCAUUUGAAACUGGGCAGCUAGAGUGUGAUAGAGGAUGGCGGAAUUCCCGGUGUAGCGGUGAAAUGCGUAGAGAUCGGGAGGAACAUCCGUGGCGAAGGCGGCCAUCUGGAUCAACACUGACGCUGAGGCACGAAAGCUGGGGGAGCAAACCGG
rnacentral:rRNA from 1 species